AUUGAACGCUGGCGGCAGGCCUAACACAUGCAAGUCGAGCGGAUGAAGGGAGCUUGCUCCUGGAUUCAGCGGCGGACGGGUGAGUAAUGCCUAGGAAUCUGCCUGGUAGUGGGGGAUAACGUCCGGAAACGGGCGCUAAUACCGCAUACGUCCUGAGGGAGAAAGGGGGGGAUCUUCGGACCUCACGCUAUCAGAUGAGCCUAGGUCGGAUUAGCUAGUUGGUGGGGUAAAGGCCUACCAAGGCGACGAUCCGUAACUGGUCUGAGAGGAUGAUCAGUCACACUGGAAAUGAGACACGGUCCAGACUCCUACGGGAGGCAGCAGUGGGGAAUAUUGGACAAUGGGCGAAAGCCUGAUCCAGCCAUGCCGCGUGUGUGAAGAAGGUCUUCGGAUUGUAAAGCACUUUAAGUUGGGAGGAAGGGCAGUAAGUUAAUACCUUGCUGUUUUGACGUUACCAACAGAAUAAGCACCGGCUAACUUCGUG
rnacentral:rRNA from 1 species